AGUGAACGCUGGCGGUAGGCCUAACACAUGCAAGUCGAACGGCAGCACAGUAAGAGCUUGCUCUUACGGGUGGCGAGUGGCGGACGGGUGAGGAAUACAUCGGAAUCUACUUUUUCGUGGGGGAUAACGUAGGGAAACUUACGCUAAGACCGCAUACGACCUACGGGGGAAAGCAGGGGAACUUCGGACCUUGCGCGAAUGAAUGAGCCGAUGUCCGAUUAGCUAGUUGGCGGGGUAAAGGCCCACCAAGGCGACGAUCCGUAGCUGGUCUGAGAGGAUGAUCAGCCACACUGGAACUGAGACACGGUCCAGACUCCUACGGGAGGCAGCAGUGGGGAAUAUUGGACAAUGGGCGCAAGCCUGAUCCAGCCAUACCGCGUGGGUGAAGAAGGCCUUCGGGUUGUAAAGCCCUUUUGUUGGGAAAGAAAAGCAGCAGGUUAAUACCCCGCUGUUCUGACGGUACCCAAAGAAUAAGCACCGGCUAACUUCGUG
rnacentral:rRNA from 1 species